CGGGGAAAAAUUUAUUGCUAUUAGAUGAGCCUAUAUUAGAUUAGCUAGUUGGUGGAGUAAUAGCCUACCAAGGCAAUGAUCUAUAGCUGAUCUGAGAGGAUGAUCAGCCACACUGGAACUGAGAUACGGUCCAGACUUCUACGGGAGGCAGCAGUGGGGAAUAUUGGACAAUGGGCGAAAGCCUGAUCCAGCCAUGUCGCAUGAGUGAAGAAGGCCUUUGGGUUGUAAAGCUCUUUUAGUGAGGAAGAUAAUGACGGUACUCACAGAAGAAGUCCUGGCUAACUCCGUGCCAGCAGCCGCGGUAAUACGGAGAGGGCUAGCGUUAUUCGGAAUUAUUGGGCGUAAAGGGCGCGUAGGCUGAUUAAUAAGUUAAAAGUGAAAUCCCGAGGCUUAACCUUGGAAUUGCUUUUAAAACUAUUAAUCUAGAGAUUGAAAAGGGAUAGAGGAAUUCCUGAUGUAGAGGUAAAAUUCGUAAAUAUUAGGAGGAACACCAGUGGCGAAGGCAUCUAUCUGGUUCAAAUCCGACGCUGAGGCGCGAAGGCGUGGGGAGCAAACAGGAUUAGAUACCCUGGUAGUCCACGCUGUAAACGAUGAAUGUUAAAUAUGGG
rnacentral:rRNA from 1 species